AGCUAUGAUUGAAAGUGGUCUCACUUCUUUCCCAGUCCGAUUCGACCAUGACGACAGGAAGUAUUUUGAACACCCCAUGUCUCAUAUUGGACCGUAGUUAUACUCUAAUGGUAUUUCAUAUUGUUGGAUUGUAAUUAUGAUUUUCAGAGACUUUUUGCCAAAAAAGGAUAAUUUAUCUAAAUUAUUUAUAUUCUGAGCU